rnacentral:rRNA from 1 species
UGUCCGGAUUUACUGGGUGUAAAGGGUGCGUAGGCGGCUUUGCAAGUCAGAUGUGAAAUCUAUGGGCUCAACCCAUAAACUGCAUUUGAAACUGUAGAGCUUGAGUGAAGUAGAGGCAGGCGGAAUUCCCCGUGUAGCGGUGAAAUGCGUAGAGAUGGGGAGGAACACCAGUGGCGAAGGCGGCCUGCUGGGCUUUAACUGACGCUGAGGCACGCAAAGCGUGGGUAGCAAACAGGAUUAGAUACCCUGGUAGUCCACGCUGUAAACGAUGAUUACUAGGUG